CCUAUGGGGGGCAGCAGGCGCGAAACCUUUACAAUGCGGGCAACCGUGAUAAGGGAACCUCGAGUGCCUGUAAACGCAGGCUGUUCAGGUGUUUAAAACGCACCUGGAGAAAGGGCCGGGCAAGACCGGUGCCAGCCGCCGCGGUAAUACCGGCGGCUCGAGUGGUGGCCGCUUUUAUUGGGCUUAAAGCGUUCGUAGCUGGGUUGUUAAGUCUCUUGGGAAAUCUGGCGGCUUAACCGUCAGGCGUCUAAGGGAUACUGGCAAUCUUGGAACCGGGAGAGGUGAGGGGUACUUCGGGGGUAGGGGUGAAAUCCUGUAAUCCUCGAGGGACCACCUGUGGCGAAGGCGCCUCACCAGAACGGCUUCGACAGUGAGGGACGAAAGCUGGGGGAGCAAACCGGAUUAGAUACCCCCGUAGUCC
rnacentral:rRNA from 1 species